rnacentral:rRNA from 1 species
UACGAAGGGGGCUAGCGUUGUUCGGAAUUACUGGGCGUAAAGGGCUCGUAGGCGGCCAACUAAGUCGGACGUGAAAUCCCUCGGCUUAACCGGGGAACUGCGUCCGAUACUGGAUGGCUUGAGUAUGGGAGAGGGAUGCGGAAUUCCAGGUGUAGCGGUGAAAUGCGUAGAUAUCUGGAGGAACACCGGUGGCGAAGGCGGCAUCCUGGACCAUUACUGACGCUGAGGAGCGAAAGCCAGGGGAGCAAACGGG